AGAGUUUGAUCCUGGCUCAGAAUCAACGCUGGCGGCGUGCCUAACACAUGCAAGUCGAACGCGAAAGUGGAGCAAUCCAUGAGUAGAGUGGCAAACGGGUGAGUAACACGUGGGUGACCUGCCUUCGAGUGGGGGAUAACGUCCCGAAAGGGACGCUAAUACCGCAUGACAUCCUGUCUUUGGAAAGACGGAGAUCAAAGCUGGGGAUCGCAAGACCUGGCGCUUGAAGAGGGGCCCGCGCCUGAUUAGCUAGUUGGUGGGGUAACGGCCUACCAAGGCGACGAUCAGUAUCCGGCCUGAGAGGGCGGACGGACACACUGGGACUGAGACACGGCCCAGACUCCUACGGGAGGCAGCAGUGGGGAAUUGUUCGCAAUGGGCGCAAGCCUGACGACGCAACGCCGCGUGGGUGAUGAAGGCCUUCGGGUCGUAAAGCCCUGUCAGAUGGGACGAAGAAAGUGACGGUACCAUCGAAGGAAGCACCGGCUAACUCCGUGCCAGCAGCCGCGGUAAUACGGAGGGUGCAAGCGUUGUUCGGAAUCACUGGGCGUAAAGGGCGCGUAGGCGGUUGUAUCAGUCGGGCUUAUAAGUGCGGGGCUCAACCCCGUGAUGGGUUCGGGACGGUAUGACUGGGGCGCGGUCGAGGGAGACGGAAUGCCGGGUGUAGUGGUGAAAUGCGUAGAGAUCCGGCGGAACACCGGUGGUGAAGGCGGUCUCCUAGGCCGAGGGCCGACGCUGAGGCGCGAGAGCGUGGGGAGCGAACCGGAUUAGAUACCCGGGUAGUCCACGCCGUAAACGGUGGAUGCUAGGUGUGGGGGGUAUCGACCCCCUCCGUGCCGGCGCGAACGCAGGAAGCAUCCCGCCUGGGGAGUACGGCCGCAAGGCUAAAACUCAAAGGAAUUGACGGGGGCCCGCACAAGCAGCGGAGCGUGUGGUUUAAUUCGAUGCAACGCGAAGAACCUUACCAGGGCUUGACAUGGCGCUUACAGAGGCUGAAAGGUUUUGUCCGCAAGGAGUGCGUCACAGGUGCUGCAUGGCUGUCGUCAGCUCGUGCCGUGAGGUGUUGGGUUAAGUCCCGCAACGAGCGCAACCCCCGGGUCUAGUUAGGUUCCUAGACCGACUGCCGGGACCAACCCGGAGGAAGGUGGGGAUGACGUCAAGUCAGCACGGCCCUUACGUCCUGGGCUACACACACGCUACAAUGGCCGGUACAGCGGGCGGUGCGAAGCCGUGAGGCGGAGCGAAUCCCUGCAAAGCCGGCCCCAGUGCAGAUCGGGGGCUGCAACUCGCCCCCGUGAAGUCGGAGUUGCUAGUAACCGCGGGUCAGCACACCGCGGUGAAUACGUUCCCGGGCCUUGCACACACCGCCCGUC
rnacentral:rRNA from 1 species